ACGAACGCUGGCGGCGUGCUUAACACAUGCAAGUCGAACGGAAAGGCCCCUUUGGGGGUCCUCGAGUGGCGAACGGGUGAGUAACACGUGAGUAACCUGCCCUUGACUUCGGGAUAACUUCAGGAAACUGGGGCUAAUACCGGAUAGGAAUCCUUGCUGCAUGGUGGGGGUUGGAAAGCUUCGGCGGUUUUGGAUGGACUCGCGGCUUAUCAGCUUGUUGGUGGGGUAGUGGCUUACCAAGGCUUUGACGGGUAGCCGGCCUGAGAGGGCGACCGGCCACAUUGGGACUGAGAUACGGCCCAGACUCCUACGGGAGGCAGCAGGGGGGAAUAUUGCACAAUGGGCGGAAGCCUGAUGCAGCAACGCCGCGUGCGGGAUGACGGCCUUCGGGUUGUAAACCGCUUUCAGCAGGGGCGAAGCUUGUGGUGACGGUACCUGCAGAAGAAGCACCGGCUAACUACGUG
rnacentral:rRNA from 1 species